rnacentral:rRNA from 1 species
GGCUUAGAGUUUGAUCAUGGCUCAGGAUGAACGCUGGCGGCGUGCCUAACACAUGCAAGUCGAACGAAGCACCUUCUUUAGAUUCUUCGGAUGAAGAAGACUGUGACUGAGUGGCGGACGGGUGAGUAACGCGUGGGCAACCUGCCCUGUACAGGGGGAUAACAGUUAGAAAUGACUGCUAAUACCGCAUAAGCGCACGAGGACGCAUGUUCUUGUGUGAAAAACCCCGGUGGUACAGGAUGGGCCCGCGUCUGAUUAGGUAGUUGGUGGGGCAGCGGCCUACCAAGCCGACGAUCAGUAGCCGACCUGAGAGGGUGACCGGCCACAUUGGGACUGAGACACGGCCCAAACUCCUACGGGAGGCAGCAGUGGGGAAUAUUGCACAAUGGGGGAAACCCUGAUGCAGCGACGCCGCGUGAAGGAAGAAGUAUUUCGGUAUGUAAACUUCUAUCAGCAGGGAAGAAACUGACGGUACCUGACUAAGAAGCACCGGCUAAAUACGUGCCAGCAGCCGCGGUAAUACGUAUGGUGCAAGCGUUAUCCGGAUUUACUGGGUGUAAAGGGAGCGUAGACGGAGAGGCAAGUCUGAAGUGAAAGCCCGGGGCUCAACCCCGGGACUGCUUUGGAAACUGCAGUUCUAGAGUGCCGGAGAGGUAAGCG